rnacentral:lncRNA from 1 species
GGCAAUGAAGAGAGCAACGUGGCUCCCUUACCACCUGGGUUUUAAGUUUUUAGAUAUUUUGGGACCUAAACUACGAGCUAAUGAUUUUGAGAUUGAUAAGUCCGAGACGGUUUCUUUUUCCACAGAUUGCAUUUCAAGCUGCUUUCCUCAAUCGUGGGCCCUGUCAUUAUUGUACGUCUUCAGGUGCCUUUGAGAGCCUUCAUCACGAAAAUUAUACUAAAGGAGAUCAACUGUUUUGAUUAUAUAAGGGCUCCCUGCUUCACCUCAGCUACCCAAGAACAGAGAAAGCAAGAAAGCUCUGGAGAGCUACCAGGCAUCAGCGAAGGGAGCCAGACCAG